UCUAAUUCUGUAUUUUGUACUCUCUCGCAGCGAAUCAAGCAGGAAAAUACCGGAUAAUAAUUGGCAAAGAUGCAGAUCAAAGAAUUCCGUGUUACUUUGCCAUUGACUGUGGAAGAGUAUCAAGUUGCACAAUUAUUCUCGGUG
rnacentral:sRNA from 1 species